rnacentral:rRNA from 1 species
AUUGCCUCAGUACGGCGAGUGAAGCGGCAAAAGCUCAAAUUUGAAACCCUCGGGAUUGUAAUUUGAAGAUUUGGCAUUGGAGAAAGCUAACCCAAGUUACUUGGAAUAGUACGUCAUAGAGGGUGACAACCCCGUCUGGCUAACCGUUCUCCAUGUAUUGCCUUAUCAAAGAGUCGAGUUGUUUGGGAAUGCAGCUCAAAGUGGGUGGUAAACUCCAUCUAAAGCUAAAUACUGGUGAGAGACCGAUAGCGAACAAGUACUGUGAAGGAAAGGUGAAAAGAACUUUGAAAAGAGAGUGAAAUAGUAUGUGAAAUUGUUGAUAGGGAAGGAAAUGAGUGGAGAGUGGUUUAGGUUUCAGCCUUCUUUCGAGGGGGUGCACUACCAACGCCGAGUCAUUGAUAGCGAGACAGGGGUUAUAAACGGACGGCACUUGUGCUAUUCUCCUAACCCCUCUACUGCCACCAACGACAUAAUCCACCCAUUUCACCCGUCUUGA